rfam:Penicillium chrysogenum Wisconsin 54-1255 complete genome, contig Pc00c16
AUCCUAGUGCAGGAGCUUUACACGUAUCAGUGAGGAGAAAUCCGAGAUCGUGUUUUUGCUGGUUGAAAACUACCAAAUUGACUGCUUCAAGUGGGCCUCAUCGCCUGCUUGGGAAUUUUUGAAACACCACUGCCUCAACUCCUUGACAUCUUGGU